rnacentral:rRNA from 1 species
CCUACGGGCGGCAGCAGUGGGGAAUAUUGGACAAUGGGCGAAAGCCUGAUCCAGCCAUGCCGCGUGUGUGAAGAAGGCCUUCGGGUUGUAAAGCACUUUCAGUGGGGAAGAAAGCCUUGGGGCUAAUACCCUCGAGGAAGGACAUCACCCACAGAAGAAGCACCGGCUAACUCCGUGCCAGCAGCCGCGGUAAUACGGAGGGUGCGAGCGUUAAUCGGAAUUACUGAGCGUAAAGCGCGCGUAGGCGGUCUGAUAAGCCGGUUGUGAAAGCCCCGGGCUCAACCUGGGAACGGCAUCCGGAACUGUCAGGCUAGAGUGCGGGAGAGGAAGGUAGAAUUCCCGGUGUAGCGGUGAAAUGCGUAGAGAUCGGGAGGAAUACCAGUGGCGAAGGCGGCCUUCUGGACUGACACUGACGCUGAGGUGCGAAAGCGUGGGUAGCAAACAGGAUUAGAUACCCGUGUAGUC